UACGUAGGGGGCGAGCGUUGUCCGGAUUUAUUGGGCGUAAAGAGCUCGUAGGUGGUUUGGUAAGUCGGAUGUGAAAUCUCCAGGCUCAACCUGGAGGGGUCAUUCGAUACUGCCAUGACUAGAGUUCGGUAGGGGAGUGUGGAAUUCCUGGUGGAGCGGUGAAAUGCGCAGAUAUCAGGAGGAACACCGGUGGCGAAGGCGGUUCUCUGGGCCUUACCUGACACUGAGGAGCGAAAGCGUGGGGAGCGAACAGG
rnacentral:rRNA from 1 species